rnacentral:rRNA from 1 species
UGGGGAAUUUUGGACAAUGGGCGAAAGCCUGAUCCAGCAAUGCCGCGUGUGUGAAGAAGGCCUUCGGGUUGUAAAGCACUUUUGUCCGGAAAGAAAUCCUUGGCUCUAAUACAGUCGGGGGAUGACGGUACCGGAAGAAUAAGCACCGGCUAACUACGUGCCAGCAGCCGCGGUAAUACGUAGGGUGCAAGCGUUAAUCGGAAUUACUGGGCGUAAAGCGUGCGCAGGCGGUUUGCUAAGACCGAUGUGAAAUCCCGGGCUCAACCUGGGAACUGCAUUGGUGACUGGCAGGCUAGAGUAUGGCAGAGGGGGGUAGAAUUCCACGUGUAGCAGUGAAAUGCGUAGAGAUGUGGAGGAAUACCGAUGGCGAAGGCAGCCCCCUGGGCCAAUACUGACGCUCAUGCACGAAAGCGUGGGGAGCAAACAGGAUUAGAUACCCUGGUAGUCCACGCCCUAAACGAUGUCAACUAGUUGUUGGGGAUUCAUUUCCUUAGUAACGUAGCUAACGCGUGAAGUUGACCGCCUGGGGAGUACGGUCGCAAGAUUAAAACUUAAUGAAUUGACGGGGUCAUAGCUGUUUCCU